GCCGGGGUCUCCUAGUCUGGUAGGGAGCAGAGGCUUAGCAGCCUGUGGCCGCUUGUCGGCCGCGCGGGUUCAAAUCCCGCCCCCGGCGCCA
rnacentral:tRNA from 1 species